rnacentral:rRNA from 1 species
UAAUACGUAGGGAGCGAGCGUUGUUCGGAUUUAUUGGGCGUAAAGGGUGUGUAGGCGGUUAUAUAAGUCAAAGGUGAAAUCCCUACUUUCAAGGUAGGAACUGCCUUUGAUACUGUAUAACUAGAGAACAAAAUGGGGAAAUGGAGCUCUGGGAGUAGCGGUGGAAUGCGUAGAUAUCCAGAGGAACGCCGGUAGCGAAAGCGGUUUCCUAGUUUGCUUCUGACGCUGAAACACGAAAGCCAGGGGAGCGAUCGGGAUUAGAGACCCCGGUAGUCCUGGCUGUAAACGGUGAGUACUAAGUGUGGGGGGAGCAUUACCCUCUGUGCUGAAGCUAACGCGUUAAGUACUCCGCCUGGGGAGUACAGCCGCAAGGCUG